rnacentral:rRNA from 1 species
UACGCAGGGGGCUAGCGUUGCUCGGAAUCACUGUGCGUAAAGGGUGCGUAGGCGGGAUCUUAAGUCAGAGGUGAAAGCCUGGAGCUCAACUCCAGAACUGCCUUUGAUACUGGGAUUCUUGAGUUCGGGAGAGGUGAGCGGAACUGCGAGUGUAGAGGUGAAAUUCGUAGAUAUUCGCAAGAACACCAGUGGCGAAGGCGGCUCACUGGCCCGAUACUGACGCUGAGGCACGAAAGCGUGGGUAGCAAACAGG